CCCCCGAUAGCUCAGUUGGUAGCGCCUGUGUGAAGAGCGCUUUUGUCGUCGGUUCGAUUCCGACUUGGGGGG
rnacentral:tRNA from 1 species